rnacentral:lncRNA from 1 species
UCCUCUAUCAUCACUUCGUAAUUGAUUAUCAUUUGAAUUUGAUACACCGACAUUGUUGUGGAUAUCAAAAGGCAAUGAGCCAAACAUCAAAUUGGUCCGUACCUGCUGAUGAGCUGAGUUUAAUUUGGGAUUCGUACCAAAAGAGCCUACCUUUUUAACAUCGUCUCCACCAAAUAAGUUACUCUGAUUGAGUUGAUAAUUCUGCUGGUAGGUCUGAUCAAAUCCAGGUCGUGGUGGCGAUGCAGAGGACAAAUUAGGGUUAGGGUUUUGGAGGAAAAAAUUAUGAGGAGCAAAAUGGGUAGGAGACUGAGACCAAGGGGAUCGAUGGGAGAGAUGCUCGUGACCAUUAGGAACAUUGGAUUGGUACAAUGGCGGCGCGAAGGAGAUGCUGGGUCCCACGAUGGCAACGGCGGGAUCGUGAGGCAGAUUUUGAGCUGGUGGUUGUUGUGCUUGCUGACGGGGUUGUUGCGGCGGAUUUCGCAGCAACUGGAGGAUAAAUUCGCCGCUAUUCACCGACGAUGACGGCGGCUGAGCUUCGCCUCCACCGCCUGACAUUGUGAGGGAGGUUUUACAAAGAUUUGAAGUAAUGGGACAAGGCGACUAAUGUAUGGAAUUUAUAUAUAUAUAUAUAUAUAUAUANNNNNNNNNNNNNNNNNNNNNNNNNNNNNNNNNNNNNNNNNNNNNNNNNNNNNNNNNNNNNNNNNNNNNNNNNNNNNNNNNNNNNNNNNNNNNNNNNNNNGUGGGAUGCUUUUUGCAAAUCUAUACAUGACUUAACAAGUGUUUCCAUUAUGAAGUGCUACAUAAAUAGGUGAGACAAGAAAUUGCCUUCAUUAGGAGCAUGUCAUGUGACAUGAUAGCCAAUUAGUAGACCUCAGAUGGAGCAUGAACUUAAAAUUCCAAACAAUCAAUGAAUACGUACGAAUGAGCGGUAGUGUAAUACAAGCAUAUAUAUACAUACCUCUAUUAAUUUUACUUGGUAUUGAUUAGUACAGUUCUAAUCUUUGCUAUGAAACUAGUAAACCCCAUCAGCCAGUACAUAUUAAUGGUUUUGCAUGAACUAAAAAAUUUUGAUGAUGUGCCCCUUGGGCUGAAUUCCAAGCUUGUGAUAAAAGGAUGCUACAAUUAAUCACUGUUUUUAUUUCAAACACAACUUUACUUACAAAUAUCAAUAAAGGAAAAGGAAAAAUGAUUUAAUUAAUAUGAUCGGUUCAGUAAGCAAAGCCUGUAUGAGCAAAGCCAUUUACCUUAUCACGCUUCUUUUUAACACUUGUCUCAGCAGAUUCAUCUUCAAGAACUAAUGUGCCCAUAACCCGUUCAUCUAAAUCUUCCAAUUCUCUCUGAACUUGAUCACCUUCUCUCCUCAUCGGAUCGCCUCUAACCUCACCAUGCAGUUCCAACAAAGACUCUUCAAACUCUGGUGCAGUAACUGAAUGCAGAUUACUUCCUGCAGGCGAACCAGGGCUAUAAAGCUGGCCAAUAAGCGUUCUUUCACCAGACAUUCUGCCACUCAUUGCUCUUCCUUUCUCCUCAGUAACUGAAUUGACAUUCCUAUGAUUCAAUUCACCAAAUUUACCCUUUCCCUUACUCCUAUUCCGCGCAAAACUACCACUUUUAUUCCCCAAAGUUCUAGGGUUGCUAUAAAACCCUGGUGGCGGGCACCUCACAGAUGUUUCCACCCACCUGUUACUACCACCACCACCAUGAUCCCCAAAUGCAUGCGCAUUUAGUUCCUUAUUUCGAUUUAAUUCAAGAGAUAUUUGAAACUCGUUUUCCAAACCAUUCUGAAUUCUGUUCCCUAAACCCCCUCCUCUAUCAUCACUUCGUAAUUGAUUAUCAUUUGAAUUUGAUACACCGACAUUGUUGUGGAUAUCAAAAGGCAAUGAGCCAAACAUCAAAUUGGUCCGUACCUGCUGAUGAGCUGAGUUUAAUUUGGGAUUCGUACCAAAAGAGCCUACCUUUUUAACAUCGUCUCCACCAAAUAAGUUACUCUGAUUGAGUUGAUAAUUCUGCUGGUAGGUCUGAUCAAAUCCAGGUCGUGGUGGCGAUGCAGAGGACAAAUUAGGGUUAGGGUUUUGGAGGAAAAAAUUAUGAGGAGCAAAAUGGGUAGGAGACUGAGACCAAGGGGAUCGAUGGGAGAGAUGCUCGUGACCA